UCCGUAGGCGGUGUGGCAAGUCGGUAGUGAAAUCUCUCGGCUUAACUGAGGGGCUGCUGCCGAAACUGCCAUGCUCGAGUGCGAGAGAGGCGAGUGGAAUUGCGGGUGUAGCGGUGAAAUGCGUAGAUAUCCGCAGGAACAUCCGAGGCGAAAGCGGCUCGCUGGAUCGCAACUGACGCUGAGGGACGAAAGCUAGGGGAGCAAACAGGAUUAGAUACCCUGGUAGUCCUAGCCCUAAACCAUCAGGACUUGGGGUUUGCCCUGUACGGGGCAAGUCCCGGAGCUAACGCGUUAAGUCCUGCGCCUGGGGAGUACGGUCGCAAGGCUGAA
rnacentral:rRNA from 1 species